rnacentral:rRNA from 1 species
UACGUAGGGGGCAAGCGUUGUCCGGAUUUAUUGGGCGUAAAGAGCUCGUAGGUGGUUCGGUAGGUCGGAUGUGAAAUCUCCAGGCUCAACCUGGAGGGGUCAUUCGAUACUGCCGUGACUAGAGUUCGGUAGGGGAGUGUGGAAUUCCUGGUGGAGCGGUGAAAUGCGCAGAUAUCAGGAGGAACACCCGUGGCGAAGGCGGCACUCUGGGCCGAUACUGACACUGAGGAGCGAAAGCGUGGGGAGCGAACAGG